UUACGGCCACAUCAUGUUGAAACGCCGGUUCUCUUAGGAUAAGCGAAGUUAAGCAACAUCGAGCCUGGUCAGUAUCUAAAUGGAUGAUCGCUUGGAAAUACCAAGUGCUGCAUGC